UGGAGUGUUGUGCUGUCUCUUUCUGGCCAUCUGCCGUGUUGUUCUGUUGCCACGAAGAGAGAGGGUUCGAUCAAUAGUUUGCAUAAAAAGAGAGGUACAGUAUCGAUUUGAUCCAAGAAACAUAAAAAGAGAGAGAUAGAUAGAGGGCCAAGAGUUUGCAUGACCGGCGAUUUCAGUUGUUUUGGCGCAGAGAUUUUGGUUGUCGUUUGCUGACGAGUUGUUUACUAUUUGGUUGGAGCGCAAGAAUUCUUUAGCUGAAAAAGUAGGAUUGUUCGAGGUUCAAUCUUCUCAGGAGUAUUUGGUUGGGAACAAACAAAGAAAGGAAGUAGGAUCAAUAUUCGGGAACCUCUCCUUCUGGAAAAACAGGUCCAAUGCUGGUUGGAAUUUAAGGUCCACCUCACCCGAUCCCAGCAUCAAGUAGAUUUUGGUAAGAUUUUUUUUAAUUUUCUACCUACAGGACUUCUCAAUGUGCAUGCAUCCCUAAAUUACAGUGUUAACCUAUCUCAAGUUUCUGGAAUGUUUACUCAUCAUUUAAGUCAUCAACUGUGAAAAGGCUAGCACUAGGAGCUACCAAAGGUUUUUUUUUUUUUUUUUUUUUUUUUUUUUGCAAAUACAGAGAUAUAGCAACCUGUUAAACCAAUAUCUCCAGCAAUAAAGCCUUAUUAUUGUUACAAGUAUAUGCUAUGCUUUUUGUUAUUUAUAAUUACUGAUCACUACACAAAAAUUUUGAAAACAAAUCAUCAAUGGACCUAUGGAGAAACGUAUGGGAUUAUAUUUAGAUCUUCAAGGACCAUCCAAUUUAAUGGUUUAGUUGUCUGAGCUAAUGUCCUUUUGAAUUUCAUUGAUCUGAAUGCACAAUUCAGUUGGGAUUGCAAUGAAUUUGUGUUCUUUGUUUCCAUGUUCAAAUCAGAUGUAUUAUAGAUUUAGAGUGAUAGGACCUGCAUUUUGGUAUUCAAAAUCUAAACUGAUGCUUUAUGAGGUUUAACUUGGGUAUUAGUUUGUUUAUUAUGUUGGGGAUGUUAUAGUUUAGGGAUUCAAUAUGUAAUUGUAUGGAAUAAACUGAUAUAAACUCUGCUUUAGCCCAUAAUAUUAUCAGCCUCUUGCUUUUGGAGUUUUGAUAAUAACUUUCUUCUGUAUCAACUAAUAAGAUGGUAAAGACCAACAAAAUAAGUCCAUCUAUGCUUUCUGUUUGUUUAAUUGUGUUGAUUUGUAUGUAAUGUUUUAUUUAGGUACCAGCAAUUCUUUAGCUUUCAUGGCAAAGUUGAUCUCUUUGUCUUUUGUGUACAAGAUUGCUUUCAUAUUGUACUUGGUCUGACUAUUCUUGCUGUUAGCCACUUUUGUUAUUCUUUUCAUGUUUUUGUUUUCGAGUAUGCAGCUCUAAAGCUCAAAAGAUCAAUUCAUUAGUAUUUAGAUUAUAAAGAAUGAGAUCUUGAAGCCAAUUACAUGGAUGCAAAAUGUUAAAACCAACAGCUAAAAAUUGAUGGAUCAAUCUGCUAUUGGGUUGUCUCCUUGGAAAAGGGCAUUGUGUGCUUCUUAGACAAGCAGAGCUAAAAACAUUGGUGGAUCUGCAUGCGAAUGAGGUUUGCUUCUUACUAAAUGCAUAGAGCAAACAAGUUGAAGGAAAUUUGUCUUUUGUGACAGACUUCUGUUAUGCAAAGCAAAGCCAGGGAAAUGUGGAGAUUUGUUGCAUCAUGAAAGUACGACUAUUGGUGAUGCUUUGGAUUUGAUGCAGAAAACUGUUGCUCUGUGCCUUUUCUUUUCUGGGUGUUGCUUGAUUCUCUGGAUUCAUGCUUAUUUGUGGUUGCAUGUUGAUUUUGCAGGUGAGGCUUACUCUUGAGGAAAGGAGAGGAGACAAUAUGUGGGUUCUGCUGAUACACAGCAAAAGAGAGGAGAUGAGAGGAGGGACAAGGGGAUGGGAAGAGCAUGAAUCUGGUAUUUGAUUGUUAACGCAUCAGGUGAAAGUCAUUUAGUUUGUAAUUGUCUCUUUGACUGGAUGGGAUGUGCUUAUCUUUAGUGGAUACAAGUUUUUCACCAGAGACAAAGGCAAGAAGGAAGAGCUUCAGAGUCACUCUUCUCAUUGAAGAUGAGACUGAUCAAGCACAUGCAGUCUUAACGGGCAAAGAAGCAGAAGAAAUCUGUGGAAUCUCAUGUGAGGACUUGAUUAUCAUGAAAAACUGCA